rnacentral:rRNA from 1 species
GCCAGACUCCUACGGGAGGCAGCAGUGGGGGAUAUUGCACAAUGGGGGGAACCCUGAUGCAGCGACGCCGCGUGGGUGAAGGAGCGUUUCGGCGCGUAAAGCCCUAUCGGCAGGGAAGAAGGAGGACGGUACCUGACUAAGAAGCCCCGGCUAACUACGGGCCAGCAGCCGCGGUAAUACGUAGGGGGCAAGCGUUAUCCGGAUUUACUGGGUGUAAAGGGGGCGCAGACGGCAGCGCAAGCCAGGAGUGAAAGCCCGGGGCCCAACCCCGGGACUGCUCUUGGAACUGCGCGGCUGGAGUGCAGGAGGGGCAGGCGGAAUUCCUGGUGUAGCGGUGAAAUGCGUAGAUAUCAGGAGGAACACCGGUGGCGAAGGCGGCCUGCUGGACUGCGACUGACGUUGAGGCCCGAAAGCGUGGGGAGCAAACAGGAUUAGAUACCCGAGUAGA